AUACGGGAGGCAGCAGUAAGGAAUAUUGGUCAAUGGAGGCAACUCUGAACCAGCCAUGCCGCGUGAAGGAUGAAGGCCCUAUGGGUUGUAAACUUCUUUUGUAUGGGAAGAAACCCUGAUACGUGUAUCAGGCUGACGGUACCAUAAGAAUAAGGAUCGGCUAACUCCGUGCCAGCAGCCGCGGUAAUACGGAGGAUCCAAGCGUUAUCCGGAUUUAUUGGGUUUAAAGGGUGCGUAGGCGGCUUUGUAAGUCAGUGGUGAAAGCCUGUCGCUUAACGACAGAACUGCCAUUGAUACUGCAGAGCUUGAAUAUGUUUGAAGUGGGCGGAAUGUGUAGUGUAGCGGUGAAAUGCUUAGAUAUUACACAGAACACCAAUUGCGAAGGCAGCUCACUAAACCAUUAUUGACGCUGAGGCACGAAAGUGUGGGGAUCAAACAGGAUUAGAUACCCCGGUAGUCCU
rnacentral:rRNA from 1 species